AGUGAACGCUGGCGGUAGGCCUAACACAUGCAAGUCGAACGGCAGCACAGUAAGAGCUUGCUCUUACGGGUGGCGAGUGGCGGACGGGUGAGGAAUACAUCGGAAUCUACUUUUUCGUGGGGGAUAGCGUAGGGAAACUUACGCUAAUACCGCAUACGACCUACGGGUGAAAGCAGGGGAUCUUCGGACCUUGCGCGAUUGAAUGAGCCGAUGUCGGAUUAGCUAGUUGGCGGGGUAAAGGCCCACCAAGGCGACGAUCCGUAGCUGGUCUGAGAGGAUGAUCGGCGGCACUGGAAGGGGGACACGGUCCAGACUCCUACGGGAGGCAGCAGUGGGGAAUGUUGGGCGAUGGGCGGAAGCCUGAUGGAGCCAGGCCGCGUGGGUGAAGAAGGCCUUCGGGUUGUAAAGCCCUGUUGUUGGGGAAGAAAAGCAGCGGGUGAAUACCCGGCUGUUCUGACGGUACCCAAAGAGUAAGCACCGGCUAACUUCGUG
rnacentral:rRNA from 1 species